GAUGAACGCUGGCGGCGUGCCUAAUACAUGCAAGUCGAGCGAACGGACGAGAAGCUUGCUUCUCUGAUGUUAGCGGCGGACGGGUGAGUAACACGUGGAUAACCUACCUAUAAGACUGGGAUAACUUCGGGAAACCGUAGCUAAUACCGGAUAAUAUUUUGAACCGCAUGGUUCAAAAGUGAAAGACGGUCUUGCUGUCACUUAUAGAUGGAUCCGCGCUGCAUUAGCUAGUUGGUAAGGUAACGGCUUACUAAGGCAACGAUGCAUAGCCGACCUGAGAGGGUGAUCGGCCACACUGGAACUGAGACACGGUCCAGACUCCUACGGGAGGCAGCAGUAGGGAAUCUUCCGCAAUGGGCGAAAGCCUGACGGAGCAACGCCGCGUGAGUGAUGAAGGUCUUCGGAUCGUAAAACUCUGUUAUUAGGGAAGAACAUAUGUGUAAGUAACUGUGCACAUCUUGACGGUACCUAAUCAGAAAGGCACGGCUAACUACGUG
rnacentral:rRNA from 1 species